rnacentral:sRNA from 1 species
UUAUGGGGUAGCGCUGGGGACAGGUGGCCGGGCCAAAGGUUCCGGGGGUCCUCCAUGAGAGUCGUGGAUGGGCCCCGCUGUCGGCUG